rnacentral:rRNA from 1 species
AGUCGAGGGGCAGCAUGAACUUAGCUUGCUAAGUUUGAUGGCGACCGGCGCACGGGUGAGUAACACGUAUCCAACCUGCCGAUGACUCGGGGAUAGCCUUUCGAAAGAAAGAUUAAUACCCGAUGGCAUAGUUCUUCCGCAUGGUAGAACUAUUAAAGAAUUUCGGUCAUCGAUGGGGAUGCGUUCCAUUAGGUUGUUGGCGGGGUAACGGCCCACCAAGCCUUCGAUGGAUAGGGGUUCUGAGAGGAAGGUCCCCCACAUUGGAACUGAGACACGGUCCAAACUCCUACGGGAGGCAGCAGUGAGGAAUAUUGGUCAAUGGACGAGAGUCUGAACCAGCCAAGUAGCGUGAAGGAUGACUGCCCUAUGGGUUGUAAACUUCUUUUAUACGGGAAUAAAGUGAGGCACGUGUGCCUUUUUGUAUGUACCGUAUGAAUAAGGAUCGGCUAACUCCGUGCCAGCAGCCGCGGUAAUACGGAGGAUCCGAGCGUUAUCCGGAUUUAUUGGGUUUAAAGGGAGCGUAGGCGGACGCUUAAGUCAGUUGUGAAAGUUUGCGGCUCAACCGUAAAAUUGCAGUUGAUACUGGGUGUCUUGAGUACAGUAGAGGCAGGCGGAAUUCGUGGUGUAGCGGUGAAAUGCUUAGAUAUCACGAAGAACUCCGAUUGCGAAGGCAGCCUGCUGGACUGUAACUGACGCUGAU